GAUGAACGCUGGCGGCGUGCCUAAUACAUGCAAGUCGAGCGAACAGAUAAGGAGCUUGCUCCUUUGACGUUAGCGGCGGACGGGUGAGUAACACGUGGGUAACCUAUCUAUAAGACUGGAAUAACUCCGGGAAACCGGGGCUAAUGCCGGAUAACAUGUUGAACCGCAUGGUUCUACAGUGAAAGGCGGCUUUGCUGUCACUUAUAGAUGGACCCGCGCCGUAUUAGCUAGUUGGUGAGGUAACGGCUCACCAAGGCAACGAUACGUAGCCGACCUGAGAGGGUGAUCGGCCACACUGGAACUGAGACACGGUCCAGACUCCUACGGGAGGCAGCAGUAGGGAAUCUUCCGCAAUGGGCGAAAGCCUGACGGAGCAACGCCGCGUGAGUGAUGAAGGUCUUCGGAUCGUAAAACUCUGUUAUUAGGGAAGAACAAAUGCGUAAGUAACUGUGCGCGUCUUGACGGUACCUAAUCAGAGAGCCACGGCUAACUACGUG
rnacentral:rRNA from 1 species